GCUCUUACAUAAAACGCUCAGUGACGUGCCAGAUACAGACACUGAGCCGGCGCAAAUCUGUGGCUGCUCCUGCGUCCAAGGCCCCGGGGUUCAAACAGACAACACAAAUACAAACACACACUUUGCUCUGGAAAAUGCAUUUUUAGUCAUCCGCUCAGGUGAGUGCCGGCUGCGAUAUCAGCUUUGUAGCAAGGGAGCAGUGUGUGAAGAACAGUCAGUGAACAAGAAGAGCUCACCUAAGACGCGAGUGUCGUUUUCAUACAGCAGCAGCAGUGCAUUGAGCCUACGCUACACAGCUGUGUGCCAUUGUCUACAGUUUGUGGCACAGCGAGUAGAUAGUGCUUCCCCGAGCUGUUUGCAGCCAGACAGAGAGACACUGGAGUCAGCCACAGACGACUGGAAGGGAAAAGACAGAGUUUCUGUUUGCAGCAGAAACCACAAUGAAGGCCAUUAUACUGAUGCUGCCUUAUCACAAUAAGUCUAUUGAUGCUCACUGGAUGUUACUUGGCAAACAACACAAUAACACACAGACACACAACACCAAGAAGGUAUGAAUCCUGUUUUGCAAGUGUUUGGAUCACUGUUAAACGUGCGCAUUUCUGUGCAUGUGUGCGCAUGUGUGUGUGCAUGUGUGUGUGCAUGUGUGUGUGUGUGUGCAUGUGUGUGUGCAUGCUUCAAGCACAAAAACAAAAAAUUUUGCAGUGACACAAAUCUAUCACCUCUUUGUUUCUGCGAGUGUCAUUAUCCUGUUACAAAUGGCUCACGGAGCAGCUGGCAUGUCAUGGAUGACAAAUUUCACACACUGUGGCAUGGACGCACUCGAGUGCGAGUUGGCACAGAAGCCUGCGAUCAAUUUUUAUGUCGCUGUCUGGUGUUGGCAGUGCCGCUAAACGUGAAGAUCCGCUGGGACGCGAUGGCUGCAACGAGUCAUUUCAGCGACCUGGGACAGUUUGACCAGGAUCUGUGGAUUCCACAGGCUCCGUAUGAUCUCCGGCUCUUUGUGACUCAGACUCUGCUUUGUGUCCUGCUUGGCUGCAACUGGAACAAACUAAACAUCAUGUUGAAUUUAAUAAGUCAUGAAAUGAACAGCUGACAGAAUGUGUUUACUGUGGCAAUGACUCACAUUAUAAAAAUGCUUUCCUAUAGUUGCCUUUACAACUGGCCUCCAAUGGCUGCACGUUGUUGGGUAAACUUUUCCUUACAGCUAAACUAACUUUUACGUACAGAAGACAACCAGCCUCAGUUUCACAUCAUCCUAGCGAGUGUGAUUUAUAAGAAAGAUCAAAUAUGUGGAUAUAAGAGAACAUAUGAUGGUUUCCCUGUUUUCUGUCAUGUAUAUUGUUACAGUGCUGGAUGCUUGUACUGAAUCCCUGCGAGCUACAAUCUAAACGCUUUGUGUUAGACAGUCCUCCAUACUGUUGGCUCUGUAUGACAUCACACAGACAGGAUAACCCUAAUACGGUCAUUUCAGCCAAAUAGAAGCUUAGUCACCACCUGUGGUUCAAACUUUCUGCCAAUCAGAAGAAGGUUCCCUUUUAUUUAAUCCACAAGCAGUUGGUUUGUGGAUUAACAUAGUGGGUGUUUUCUGAAUAACUCUGAUUUCAUUCACUCUUCAUAUAAACUGCAUUUAAAUGGAUAAAUUCCAUUUCAUUUACCGCACUAAUGCACAUUUGCAUUGUGCCAUUAUCAUUUGGACAUUUCAUCCAAUUUUACAAUCUAAAAUCUAAACGUGACUCAAUGUGAUUUCCUAUCUUUCAAACGUAUAAAAGCGACGGCUUCAAAGAAGCAUAAUUCAGCACAUUUAAUGAGACGUUCUCUAAUGAGAAUGCAGCUCGUUCAUAACCCUCCAGCUCCAAUCAAAUCUAAUAAGCAGAGGGAGCAAUCACAGCGUUAACAUGUACAGAGAAAUACUGACUCGCCACACGUGUGCCCUCAGACACAGACACUGUUAUUUCCAGCUGACACUCUGCACCUGCGCUCUAUCGCAGUGCCUGCAUCCUCCUACAAGAGCGAGAGACAAAGUGCGUGUCCAACCAAAACAGUGCAUUACCUCCAGGCUGGCAGCCGAGUGUUUAGCACCCUGACAGGGAGGGCUUGUGGACGGCUGUCGCAGGCCCGUGUGGGGACGGGCAAGAUGUCUCCUGCUUGUAAACGUAGGAAGCUCGACUCCAACGAGGCCUAAUGACUAAUAAAUAAUGCACGCGGGCUUCCUUUCGCUUGCUUUUACUUUUCUCAUCUCUGCCCCUCUCUGCUUCUCACUUUCAGCCAACGCAAACAUGCUGUCCCGCCCCCCUCCUGCUAAACACAUGACCCCCCCACCCCAGCACUCCCACCCACCACGAGCCACCCAGGAACAAUCUGUCCUGUUAAUGUGCGGCCCUGUUUUCCCACACUUAUCAGCCCUCUGGAUUUAAAUACAGCCGUACCGCUGAUACUCUGUUGCCUGGAAACACAAUACGAUGCAGUAAUAAUAAUAACAGCAUUUUACCCCCAAAGCCUGCAGGACCCUUUAAACGGGGGCCACGUUGCCCCAAACUGUUCCUCUGUCGCACUGAGAGGUAAAGAGGCUUCUUUCUUUUUCCGUGGGUUUCUUUUGUGCCUGUUUCCGUCCUUCAGCAGCUCGGGUUAUUUCUGCGCCGUCAUUUUAAAAGAUUUUCGGUGCCUUUCAGGAGACUUUAAUGGAACAACUGAUCCAAAUGGAAAAUGUCAUUUCUGGCCCUGACAGACGUUCUUUGUUCGGGUUCUUUUCUCCAAGAAUACCUUCACUCAUCUCCAAUGUUUUCUUCCUCAGUUCUUUUCUUUAUAACAGCUGGUCUCAGCUGAUGCAUGACUUCCGACGGCAUUUAGAGGAAGUGCGCCGAUGACCUCACUGGCAAGGCGUGUCUUACACAACGGUAACUCCCUCAGGUUAAGAAGCAUUUCCUGGCACUCCUGAUGAAAGCUUCUUACUCUGGCUCAGAGUGCUUUCUUCCAUGAGAACUAAAGUUAAAACACGCAGUGAACGAGGACGAGAUGCUGAGAUAAGCCUGAUGUAACAGCAAGAUAGUACGGAAGCACUCGGCUGCACUUUCAUGUACUCAGUGUUUUUAGGGCUGUGCGAUUCAGAAGUGGCUGCUCCUCUCACAGGGAGCUGCCGGGACUGCUUAUGAUCUGCCACACGUGUGAAUAAAUAAGUUUAGAUCUGCUGGAUCACUUCGAGUCAUGAAAACCUUCCUUUUCCUGUCAGUAGCAGCACUCCUGCUAAUAGAGAAUAAUUGUUAAAGUUGAUAUUUUUAGCCACUUUUUGCUAUUUUAUUGCAGUUUGUUUGUUCUUGGAUCAUCAUUGAAUGCGUUCAUCCUUGUUUUGUAAGACUAAAUGAAGAAAUCAGUGGAUAAAUUCGCACUGCUGGGUCAGAGGUAAUGCGAUACGGUGGGAUAUUAGCAUUAGAAGGUAAUCAUCUGUGAUAUCAUCUGUGAUAUCAUCCUCUACGAUGGUUUUCUGCCCAGAUACAAAAGAGGCGAAUGGGAACGUGGCAGCAUGCCGGCUCAAACCCAGAAGGGUUUUUAAUGGCAGCGUAAUUUGCCUCAGUGGUUCUUGUGGCGAUUCAGAGUACACUCAAGUGAGCCUCCAAUCAGCCCUGCUCACACCAACUGUGGGAAAACUCACUAAGUACACAUCAUAGUGGUUUUAAAAUUAACACAUCUUUAAUGACUAACACUGAUGCCACAAUAUCAGCCCACCCUACUUCUCUGACUGCUGGUAGUUUUACUGUCAUUAUACUGCAAACCUGCUCGCAUGCUAAAUCUCUGCUAAACCGAACCAAAGGCACCCAGUCAACUUUCCUGUAUUCAGAGCUGGGACUGGUGGACUAAAAGAAGCCUUUGACGAUAAGGCUGAUCUGGGAAGGCGUUAGACUCUUCAAUCUUUAGAAAAUCCAGCCUGUGACAGGAAACUUUGGUCAUUUCAGACCAGAUCCGGUGAGCACAGGACUCAAAGUCCGAUUUAGUGUGUGGGGAAACCUGAAAAUCCACACCGCUAGCAUAGCAGCAAGGAAAAUAUUUCCCCUCAGAGAAGCUCCUCCCAGACUGAUGUCUGUUUUCUCUGUGGGAAGGCGGUGAUCACGCCUGAUCUUUGUGGAUUAAGCCAAACAUAUUAGCUCCUGUUACACGAGCUAUGAUGCUACAAGCGUAGAGCUCGUAUGAAGGUGGAAUUUGGCAAGUGAUGCUAAAGAGCAUCACCAGCUUAAAUAGAAAUUCACUCGCUGGGCUCACGUCCUCAUUUUAGGUUUGACAGCGUUUUAGUAGCUAAACGUACGAGCUGAGCUGCGGUUUGGGGAACGCCUCAAAGGGGACUGCGGCGGCUCCCGGCCCAGCAGAGCCCCAUGUACUAAAUAGAAGUGGGAGGGAGGGUGGAGCACGAAAACGAGAACAAACAGCUUGUAGAACUGAGGGGGAACAUGUGUAGAUGAGAGCUGGAAGGAGCGUUUGGAGGCGUGGUCCCGCUAAUAAAAUAAAAAAAUACUUUAUCUCCAACUAAUGACGGCGACUUCUGGCCGAGGUGAAGAUGCACAAUUACUUUGUACUUCAGUAGAAUUUUCAUGUAUCUGUACUAUUCUUGAGUAUUUAUGCUUUUUACACAAAUAUCUCUACUGUUCACGUCCCCGAGUUUUCAAAAACAGGCUUGUUACACAGAAGACCCUCCACGCGCCGCUGGGAAAAAACACAUCAUCGAUGCAUCGUCUAUGGAGCCACGCUGAGGGGUCGAGGUGAGCCGGGAUGAUCCAGAACAGCGUUUUGGAUGCAGAUGUCUAUAAGUUUCGGUUGCGCUACCACAAAUAUCAGCAAACAUACAUACGUGUACAGUCUGUGGCACAGUGUGUCUACUAGCUGCAGGUCCAGCUGCUCUUUCCCAGGGAGAGAAAAGAAAAAGACGGAGGUGAUAUUCAAAGGUAAGGACUGGAAACGUAAAGCUUGUGUGCAAAGCCUCAUUUUUGAGGCUUUUGAGAAGCUGUGCUGCUGAGGUGAUGCUUUCUCACAGCGGGAAACAUCCUGCCGUGCAAACCGAAGUAUAUUAACGUUUUGUUAUCCAAAGAUUGCCGGAAAAAACUGGGGAGUGUGUGCAGCUAAAGCGAUUAGCCUGCAGCACUGUGGUGGAGUUUACAGUAAUGUGCUGUGCUGGUGCAGAGCAUCUGUGGUGGACAUCAUGUUAGGUUACAUCAAGGGUAGCACACAUCUAUUUAGAUUUAAGCUGAUGAUGCUGAUUCGAUUCAGUGAGCUCCACCUUUAUAAAGCUUCAUACUGCUUCUGGUCUCCAGAUGUUCCUGCUGCUGCAUACGAAGCACGUAUUCAGCUCAAGAACACAAAAAUAAACUUUUUGGGGAGUUUUAUGUUUUAAGGUUCCCAUCAGAUAGAAUUACUCAUUAACUGGACUGGUUAAACUGGGCUGGAUGAAGUGCCCAGUAAGAUCCAGCUGUAUGUAAUACAUUUGUGUUGUCAUAAGGGCUCAAAACACUAAGUAAACUCUGCAGGUUCAUGUAGCUUCAUUUUUCAUCACAGCUUGUUCCUUCAGUUUCAAAACUACCCUGAGAUGUAUGAAAAUGCUAAAAUCAGCACACGAGCUUAUUGUUUGCUUGUAUAUGACACUUAAAUAGUUUGUUUGCUUGUUUUUUUGUGUUAUAAAUAUGAUACAACCCUCCUGUACCACGACGUGACAUCACACGGUUGGACCGUGUUCUGAUUUUCAACUUGAACCCGAACUUAACGUGACCGCGGAGGAAAACACGGCGAAACAAAACGUGCAUCAAUACGAAGACGCAGAGUUCACAGAGGUGAGGCGGUGAGAGUGGGCGGGGCCCCGGCGGCUGAGAGGAGGAGCGUUUGAGAGCGUUGCUUCUGUCAUCAGCUGUUUCUGGUCCAACAUAUUCAAGCAACUGUAACUUCAUGAUGUAGUUUUUUUUAUCCAGGUUUGUUUCGCCUCGACUGACAAAAACACAAAAACAAAGUGUAUUUACUGGUCUUUGGUUUAUUACUGGUCUUUGUGGGGGAACUCCCGAGCUCACUGAACUGGUCUCAGAGGAGACAGCGGAUGGUUUACUGCCAAGCAGGGGAGCACCUAACGUUUCCCAACUCUCCCAUUUCUUAAAUCCAGUUUGUCUUUAGCUGUCUCUGAUUUGUGGAAACAACAGCCGGCGGUAUUUAGACCGCACGGAUCCUCCCCUUCCUUCUCCUCUUCUCACUUCUGUUGUUUCCUCUCGCCUGGAAAUGUUAACCAGAAGCUUUGUGGUGUCGUCGGGAUGAUUAGAAAUAGCAGUUUUAUAACUGGUUUAUGUCAUCAACCCUCCAGUGAACUGCAACCGAAGUGUAAUUGCAGCAUUCAUAGGUGAAAAUAUGUGUUAAAUAUUUCAGAUGUUUUAAGACGAUUAAGCCUGUUGGCUGAAAUCGUUGGUUCUUCUUCACACAGCGAGUCGAGCGUCACUCUCUGCAGCAAACUGUGCCGCUGCCUCUUUAUUCUCCUCAUCCAGUUCACACAGCGUCACGUCCCUCUACUGUAAUCUGCCCUCGCUGUUAGCAGCCACACCAACAGCUGCUCUGUGAACGCCUGCUCGCUGAGCUACAGGAGAGUCAGUGUGUCGUGUAGUAGCACAUAACACGUGUGCAGUCCAUCACAAUGAAAGUGAGCCAG